rnacentral:lncRNA from 1 species
GAGAGGGCCACCUCCUGCAGGGCACACGGACACAAGCAGAGACACGCGAGGGCACGCACGCAUGCACACACAGAACACUCCCACAGUGACAGGCCACACGGAAGAAAGAGCACGGAGGGAAGAGAGACACAGGCGAAUGGACAAAACACAGGGAGAGAGGGGACGCGUGUCAAUCACCUGUCUGCCACUCAGCCCAGGGGUCUGAGUCCUCAGGAACACCUAAUGAACCUCCCAACGCCAUACUCCAGCCAGCCACUGCUUCAUCACUUCCAGCCAGAGAACUCACUACCUCACAGGGAAGUAGUCCUUAUUUGGAAAACCCCAGAGCAAGCGGUCCACAUACCAGGGCCCACUUCCUCCUAUCCUUCUCCUCCAUCACCCCCCACCUAUGGUAUCUGACCAUGCUCUCUCACCCCCGGCCAUCACCUGCUUUGGGGCUGGAAGAGCUGACUGGGCCCAGCAUGUGGCUGUGACUUCUCCAGGGUGGGACAUGCCCCGGCUCAAGGACAGUGAGAUGCCCAUCACCGGCUGUACUCGCAGAUCCAGCACUGAGACCUUGUCGUCUGUCACAGCCAGUGCCUGCUCCCCCAGGAUGGCGUCAGACAGCGGGGAACGAACCUAAGAGUAGAAAGCGACUGAAAGUGAGGGGGUCUCCCCCACACAGUCUCCCCUAAAGGACCCUGUUUUGGCAUCACCAUCUCUACACUAACACACACUCCAAUCCAUACCAGAGGACUGUGUCCUUUUUCUGGAGGCCUGGUCCCCACACACCUAUACUAUACCCUAUCCCUUCACACCUAUAGCAUUUCCUACAGUUAUCUCCAUUCUCAUUUAGUCCCCUAUGCUCCGACUGCCCACCUAUUCUCCCUGGUCACAGUAAGCCCCGUCUGCAGCCUUCACACCUAACCAUGAACAGUCUGGGGACACCAGUACCCUGUGGGAAGGGGACAAAGUCUUGCUCUUUGGCGUCCCCUGUGGCGGCUCACCUCGAUAGAGGUGACUCCAGGCUCCCGUCCCACUAGGAUGCGGCCACCUUCCAAGGAGGCUAUGCGAGGAUCUUGCACAUGGGCAUGGGCUGCCACGAGGUGACUCACAUCCAGCAACCAGUCAGGACCGAGUAGGUGGGUGAGGCGACGGCCACCGUCCAGCGGGUGAGCCGCAAAGGGCACCAAGAAGCGCACACCAGCUCUCUGGUACUGCAGGCGGCAGCCACGGGAGCGCCGCUCCACCUCCUCAGCAGCAGUCUCAGGCUCCAGCUGCCUGCGGGGAGGGGCGUCAGUGAGGGCCCCGCCCACUGGAGACCACUCCUUCCCCCAGACUCCAAACUCCGGGCAGGCCCUGCCCAGCCACCUAUCUAGAGGUUCUAGAUGG